rnacentral:rRNA from 1 species
CCUACGGGGGACAGCAGUAGGGAAUCUUCCACAAUGGGCGAGAGCCUGAUGGAGCAACGCCGCGUGGGUGAAGAAGGUCUUCGGAUCGUAAAACCCUGUUGUUAGAGAAGAAAGUGCGUGCGAGUAACUGUUCACGUUUCGACGUUAUCUAACCAGAAAGCCACGGCUCACUACGUGCCAGCAGCCGCGGUAAUACGUAGGUGGCAAGCGUUAUCCGGAUUUAUUGGGCGUAAAGGGAACGCAGGCGGUCUUUUAAGUCUGAUGUGAAAGCCUUCGGCUUAACCGGAGUAGUGCAUUGGAAACUGGGAGACUUGAGUGCAGAAGAGGAGAGUGGAACUCCAUGUGUAGCGGUGAAAUGCGUAGAUAUAUGGAAGAACACCAGUGGCGAAAGCGGCUCACUGGUCUGUAACUGACGCUGAGGUUCGAAAGCGUGGGUAGCAAACAGGAUUAGAUACCCCUGUAGUC